UCCAGUCUGCCUUUGGGGUUGUGCUGUGAACUCUAUCUGAUAUUGGGAAAAAUAUUAAAUAUGGUAAUUACCCACUUUGGUUUAGAUAGGCCUCUGCACCUAUUUUCCCCCGCCUUAUAAUUGCUUCCUUUGGGAUGAUUAGUAAUCGCUAGGAGAUAGUCAACCGGGCGUUUAUGCUCCGUCAUUACGCACUGUACCAGACGUCCGAACAUUAAGUGGUGCAGCAUUAACUGAGGAUUCAGUAAAGUGGUACUGUUUAGACUCACUCCAAGAGGCUGACCAAUAAAAUGUGGCUGUGUUAUGAUCCUGAGAAAAUACACUGAACUGUCCUAUAGUCAAUAUUUUUAUGAUUAUCCUGCAAACAACUUUAAGCAAUUUAAGGCCACCUCAGUGUCAACAGCUUAGCAGUCAACAGACCUCGAACACAGUUAAAUCCUGCCACAAAAGGAUGAAAACUGAGGAAAAUUAAGGAGUAGAAAUCAGUAUCGAGGAGUAAUUAUUUUAUAUUUCUCACUCUUGUGUCAUCUUAACCCUAGAACAUUAUCGCCGGGUGAUUUUCACCCGACCAAACGUGUUUACGUGAUUUUCAUUAUGUUGUGUUUGAGUAUCAUGGGUCCCUAGGUAACUUAAGCACUGACUUUGACAUCUUUGAAGGCAUAUUUGUUUCCCUGAUCCAAAACCUUUUCCUACAGGUGCAUGUUCGGGAGAUUUUUACCCAACAAUAGCGAUAGAGGGUAAAGUAGGUUUUUGUGGAUUUGAUAGCUGCAUGUAGGGAAUAAGGUCAGUAAGAGUGGUCCUGGAAUUUGUAUGCUAUCUUUAUUAAGUCCAGUGGUUAUGGAUAACUAUCACAAAGUAGAGAUUUUCAAGGGAAUAAGAAAUAUUUUAGUCAGCUGGUCAUUUUUACUCACUCAAAAUAUGCCAUAUUUUGGUUCUCUCUCCUGCAGCUGUUAUUGUGCCAAGGACCCUGAGUCUUCACCAGGGAAGACUCACAUGCCCAAGGAAUAGGUGCGAAAGAAACUAAGUUUACAGUUUCUAUAAAGAAAAAAGAAAACUACUUUAAUUUGUCAUCUAUUGUCCUAUUUUGGUAUAUUUUGAUGACAAGUACUUUUUCUUGGGUAUAUGAUUUCGGGUAAAAAUCACCCGGCGAUAGUGGUGGUGUUACUAAUUUUAGCGAUCAUGUUCUGGGGUUAAGAGGAUCGGAGAAACCUUGAUGUUUCAAGGUCAGCUGCUUAAUUGAGAAUUUAUGUUGACUCCUCUGUGGUUAGUUUUGCUUAAAAGAAUAAAUAAAGAAUCCCAAUGUUAAAACAGGCUAUGCACGUACAAAGCACCCAAACUAUCAUUAGCAGCAGCCUGCAGCUGACUCAGGAUCUGUUGUGCGUCAACUAUUUUGCAUAUAAAGUGGCGUCUCCCACCUUCCUGCCAAACUCACCAAUCAGAAGCCGCAUAUGCUGCUCAUGGACAGGUCACAUUAACCAAUCAGUAUUAAUCUGCUCUUUUGAAACCUGAACGUCUUUCCAAAACGGCUUCAACAGAACCAUGGGCUGAUUUAGGUGAUUUAAUAGCCAAGGGAAGUGGCCCGGCGAUCAUCUGGGAGUAUUUUGGGUUUGAGGCUGCAGACGUGCACCAGCAGAAACAGGUAGGCUACUGCGCAAAACCUGUCGCGCUAAAGUUGUUAUAUCGAGUGGAAACACCGACUUAUACACUUGAGAAACCACCGCUGACACUUGCAGGAGUGCAUAACGAAAAAGUCCGGUGAAAAGUUGAAUAAACAGAAGCAAACAAACUACAAUUACAACAUCUUUUGCCAGUGUAGAGCAGCCGCAGUCACCGGGAGAUAAGAGCUGCCAUGACACGGUAGGGGAGAGUGGGGUGAGUUGUGCCAGUUUUUACUAAACGUCUUUAAAGCAAGGGGAUGACAGUAAUACCUCCAACUAAAAUAUGUGCAUAUAGUUUAGAAAGUGGUGCAUCCAUGGGAACAAUCACUUUGGAUCUUAAAUAAAUUGGUUGAGAAAUAAAGCUUUAGAAAAACAAGUGGUCUUGUGGCAUGACUUGCCCCCAGUGUGUGGUAAAUGGUGUCAUAGAUUAUUGAAGUAAAACACAUCAUUUUAAUCUAAUGCUAUAUAAAAGUAAGACAAAUUCAAUACAAAAUUAAGUUUUUACAACAUCUAAGCCCACUUCUCUAUAACAAAAGGCCUUGUUGUAGAGAAGUGGGUUUAGAUGAAGUGCACAUGAACAAAUUCAGUCACAAUUCUCUGUGGUUUGGGUAGUUUCUUAAGCACAUCACCUCUAGAGAUGACUCCAGUUUCUCUAAAUGUGUACAAUAGAUUUUGGGGUGUUGAAAUUGGGGUCUCAGGAUUGUCUUAGCUCUUAUUCUACUCCUUUUAUUGCAUUUUAGUCAUUCCACUGUUGGACGUAUAGCUCAUGUAUUUAUUAUCUGAUUCAUGUUGCUGACAGGGGAAUGUCUGGCAUUUGUCUGUUCGGGUUACUGGGAAGUGAAUUGCCCUUCGGGGUAAGGCUGCACGAUAUUGGAAAAAACUAACAUUGCAAUUUUUUUCAACCCUGAGAUAUAUAUUAAAGAAUUCAGGAAUUUUCACCAGAUGACCUGAAUAGCACUUUGGUAUGCUGCACUGCUGAAAUCUUGAGGACAGUUAGCCUGCACUGAUCUUACCUCUUUUUGUGAAUGUUAGUAGAACGGCUUCUGUCUGUCUCAGAGAUAAUUUUAGCUUUUAUUAUGCUGGGACGCUAUUGCGGCAGAGGAUGAACACAGAACAUGUGUUUUGGUCGACAUCAUCCUUCUUGUAACCAAAAUAAUUCCAGAUAGCUGACGUUGCUUUUCUUUUUGGCCACAAGUCUUCAUUUUUGGUGGUUAUCUCUUGUUCGUUGCUCAUUUUGCAGUUGUUGUUGUUGUUACCUGUGUUGUGCUGCAUGCACCUCGCGAAACACGCACCGCUUAUAGUAGAGUGGACCACUGAAAUAUACAAUUUAAAACCCACACAAUUCUUAUUUGUGGGGCUAGACAGUGAUGAGUAAUGUUCCGUAAGAACGAAUGUGAUUGGUGGAUCACUGCACAGCACAUGCUGAGUCACAUGCAGUGUAUCUCAGUCAGCUACCCUUGAAAUCAGAUGGGUUCAUUCGCCUCCUACAUCGCAGGCUCUUCAAUGUGACUAUCGCGCACAUGUACAUCCCGAUGACGAUGCUCAAAGGAUAUAUUGUGCAGCCCUACUUCGGGGAAUAAUAAAGUUGUCUGAAUCUGAAUCUGAAUUUACAAGGAGACCGUUGGUGCUAGCUCUGCUAGCAUUAGCCCCACUCUGCAAACCUGUUUGACUUCUUUAACUCUUAGACUGUCUGAUUCUGUGUCUACCGGUGUAAAAUAAUCUGUGCCCAGUUUUGAUUAUUCUCUGAGUGUUCUCUUAUGAUUGGAGUCGUUGGCUUGUAAGAAAUUAAAUUUUAGUUGCAAUGAUUGAGAAAUGAACCACUUUGGAACAUCACUAAUUAAUACAGAGACAUGUUUUACUUUUAAUUAGUAAAAUGGCAGAUGUUUCCUGCACGUAUUGAUCAAGAAUAUAUGUCACAUUCCUGGACUGUAAUUAUGUUAUCAUUUUAUGUGUGUGUUCUCUCUUACACUGCAGGCUGUCAUGUUGAAAUCAGCCAUGUGAUUAUUCGCUUUGCCUACUUUCCUCUCUUUGAUCUGCAUGAUCAGCAGCCUGGAGAGGUUUUUGUAUGUUUGUUUGCUUUCUUAUUUGUGGGAACAGUUUUAUGGUCCAUUUAGGUAUGCCUGCGUUGAUCAUUUUUAGUGUAGUGCUUUAAGCAUUUAAAGUCGACAUAAUUCUGCAGAGCUUAAUCAUUGGAGAGACAUUUUAACUGUGGUUUUCAGACCAUCAGAGUUAGUACUGAUGGUGCUGGGCACAGAAUUUUUGCUGGAUAGUCAAUGCAAGAAAAGUUCCCUGCUUGUGUAAUGUAACUCGUUUCUGUCCUCAAGUUAUCUCUCCAAUCACAGUCUAAUAUAAGGAUGAAGGUUGAGGCUAAUGUGGAGCAAAGUGUGUGCAUCAAUAUCUGGUGGAAGAAAAUAACUCGAGAGCAGAGUAGCUCACCUCUUGCACUGGAUCAUAUGCUGUCUCAUUAUGUAAUGACUCAGUCAAGAAGCUGGCAACAGCUGGGGGAAGAGGAUGAGGAAGCAUUUCAGGUCGAAUGAAAUAUUUAGAGGAUCCAAUCAUGUAAGGCUGUUAAGAGGCUUAAUUGUUAAUUCCACCAAGUUUAAAGGAAUGACAGAUGUCCGUGUAUACCCUGUUCUUCUUUCCAGCAUAUAUCGAUGAGGCUGCUGGGUUUUGGCAAAAAUCGUGACAAAAAUACAUUAUUGGAUUGAUACUGAGAUCACAGUUUUGAGACACUCAUGAUUUGACAUAU
rnacentral:lncRNA from 1 species